rnacentral:rRNA from 1 species
UACGUAGGGCGCAAGCGUUGUCCGGAAUUAUUGGGCGUAAAGAGCUCGUAGGCGGUCUGUUACGUCUGCUGUGAAAACCCGGGGCUUAACCCUGGGCUUGCAGUGGAUACGGGCAGACUAGAGGCAGGUAGGGGAGAAUGGAAUUCCCGGUGUAGCGGUGAAAUGCGCAGAUAUCGGGAGGAACACCGGUGGCGAAGGCGGUUCUCUGGGCCUGACCUGACGCUGAGGAGCGAAAGCGUGGGGAGCGAACAGG